UAAGGCAAUGACCCCUUCUUUGAGGAGC
rnacentral:piRNA from 1 species